rnacentral:rRNA from 1 species
CCCUUAGAUGUUCUGGGCCGCACGCGCGCUACACUGAUCAGUGCAACAAGCAUCCGUCCUUGGCCGACAGGCCCGGGCAAUCUUUGAACGCUGUUCGUGAUUGGGAUAGACCUUUGCAAUUAUGGGUCUUCAACGAGGAAUUCCUAGUAAACGCAAGUCAUCAGCUUGCAUUGAUUACGUCCCUGCCCUUUGUACACACCGCCCGUCGCACCUACCGAUUGAAUGGUCCGGUGAAAUCUCGGGACGGCGGCUUGGUCGCUUGCGUCCGACUGCUGAAACUUGAUUAAACCAUAUCAUUUAGAGGAAGGUGAAGUCGUAACA